rnacentral:rRNA from 1 species
GAUGAACGCUGGCGGCGUGCUUAACACAUGCAAGUCGAACGGAAGGGCCCAAGCUUGCUUGGGUGCUCGAGUGGCGAACGGGUGAGUAACACGUGGGUGAUCUGCCCUGCACUUUGGGAUAAGCCUGGGAAACUGGGUCUAAUACCGGAUAGGACCAUCGUUUAGUGUCGGUGGUGGAAAGUUUUUCGGUGUGGGAUGAGCUCGCGGCCUAUCAGCUUGUUGGUGGGGUAAUGGCCUACCAAGGCGUCGACGGGUAGCCGGCCUGAGAGGGUGUACGGCCACAUUGGGACUGAGAUACGGCCCAGACUCCUACGGGAGGCAGCAGUGGGGAAUAUUGCACAAUGGGCGCAAGCCUGAUGCAGCGACGCCGCGUGGGGGAUGACGGCCUUCGGGUUGUAAACUCCUUUCGCCAAGGACGAAGCGUUUUGUGACGGUACUUGGAGAAGAAGCACCGGCUAACUACGUG